UAGGGAAUCUUCGGCAAUGGGGGGAACCCUGACCGAGCAACGCCGCGUGAGUGAAGAAGGUUUUCGGAUCGUAAAGCUCUGUUGUUAAGGAAGAACGAGUGUGAGAAUGGAAAGUUCAUACUGUGACGGUACUUAACCAGAAAGGGACGGCUAACUACGUGCCAGCAGCCGCGGUAAUACGUAGGUCCCGAGCGUUGUCCGGAUUUAUUGGGCGUAAAGCGAGCGCAGGCGGUUAGAUAAGUCUGAAGUUAAAGGCAGUGGCUCAACCAUUGUAGGCUUUGGAAACUGUUUAACUUGAGUGCAGAAGGGGAGAGUGGAAUUCCAUGUGUAGCAGUGAAAUUCGUAGAUAUAUGGAGGAACACCGGUGGCGAAAGCGGCUCUCUGGUCUGUAACUGACGCUGAGGCUCGAAAGCGUGGGGAGCGAACAGG
rnacentral:rRNA from 1 species